ACGCUGGCGGCAGGCUUAACACAUGCAAGUCGAACGGUAACAGGAGAAAGCUUGCUUUCUUGCUGACGAGUGGCGGACGGGUGAGUAAUGCUUGGGAAUCUGGCUUAUGGAGGGGGAUAACGACGGGAAACUGUCGCUAAUACCGCGUAUAGUCGAGAGACGAAAGUGCGGGACCGCAAGGCCGCAUGCCAUAGGAUGAGCCCAAGUGGGAUUAGGUAGUUGGUGGGGUAAUAGCCUACCAAGCCGACGAUCUCUAGCUGGUCUGAGAGGAUGACCAGCCACACCGGGACUGAGACACGGCCCGGACUCCUACGGGAGGCAGCAGUGGGGAAUAUUGCGCAAUGGGGGCAACCCUGACGCAACCAUGCCGCGUGAAUGAAGAAGGCCUUCGGGUUGUAAAGUUCUUUCGGUAUUGAGGAAGGUUGUUGUGUUAAUAGCACGACAAAUUGACGUUAAAUACAGAAGAAGCACCGGCUAACUCCGUGCCAGCAGCCGCGGUAAUACGGAGGGUGCGAGCGUUAAUCGGAAUAACUGGGCGUAAAGGGCACGCAGGCGGACUUUUAAGUGAGGUGUGAAAUCCCCGGGCUUAACCUGGGAAUUGCAUUUCAGACUGGGAGUCUAGAGUACUAUAGGGAGGGGUAGAAUUCCACGUGUAGCGGUGAAAUGCGUAGAGAUGUGGAGGAAUACCGAAGGCGAAGGCAGCCCCUUGGGAAUGUACUGACGCUCAUGUGCGAAAGCGUGGGGAGCAAACAGGAUUAGAUACCCUGGUAGUCCACGCUGUAAACGCUGUCGAUUUGGGGAUUGGGCUUUAAGCUUGCUGCCCGAAGCUAACGUGAUAAAUCGACCGCCUGGGGAGUACGGCCGCAAGGUUAAAACUCAAAUGAAUUGACGGGGGCCCGCACAAGCGGUGGAGCAUGUGG
rnacentral:rRNA from 1 species